GCGCCAGUAGCUCAGUUGGAUAGAGCGUCGGAUUCCGGUUCCGAAGGCCGAGGGUUCGAAUCCUUCCUGGCGUACGA
rnacentral:tRNA from 1 species